rnacentral:tRNA from 1 species
AUUUAUAUAGCUUAUAUAAAAGAGCAUAACACUGAAGAUGUUAGGGAGGUUGAUUUAAUCUAUAGAUA